GGCGUAGUCAUGCAGGGUCUCGGGUUUUUUUUAGACCCUUUACUUUUUUGGGAGCAGGGUCCCAGCAGGGUCCCUAUGUCUCCAGCAUCCUACAAGCCAAUCAACAUACAAGAGGAGUGUAUUAGCCACUGAGAAGAGCCUUCUAACAUGCUUCCUUGUCCUUUCCUGCUGAUUGGAACCAAACAGAGUGAAAGGAGGUUAUCUAAAUGGUUUCUCCCACAUGAGCUUUCCACCCAUCACAAUGAUCUACAGUACAGGAGAGGGUCUGCUUGGUGUUCUGGCACUGAUGGAUGUGCAGAUGUAACACACCGGAAUUAAAGGAGCCUCAAGGACACAUUCUUACCUCUCAGCCCUAUUGGUUAAUAUUUGUUCACAUUCAUUAAAUUGGCC